rnacentral:rRNA from 1 species
GACGAACGCUGGCGGCGUGCUUAACACAUGCAAGUCGAGCGGUAAGGCCCUUUCGGGGGUACACGAGCGGCGAACGGGUGAGUAACACGUGGGUGACCUGCCUUUAGCUCUGGGAUAAGCCUGGGAAACCGGGUCUAAUACCGGAUAUGACUCCGCGGCGCAUGUUGUGGGGUGGAAAGCCUUGUGCGGCUGGAGAUGGGCCCGCGGCCUAUCAGCUUGUUGGUGGGGUGAUGGCCUACCAAGGCGACGACGGGUAGCCGGCCUGAGAGGGCGACCGGCCACACUGGGACUGAGACACGGCCCAGACUCCUACGGGAGGCAGCAGUGGGGAAUCUUGCGCAAUGGCGAAAGCCUGACGCAGCGACGCCGCGUGAGGG